CAAACUGAACAUGUGUAAAAACUUUUUAAAAAAAAAACAAAACUCGUAACGGUGGAUGUCUUGGCUCCCACAUCGAUGAAGAACGCAGCAAAAUGCGAAACGUAAUGCGAAUUGCAGAAUCCGUGAAUCAUCAAAUCUUUGAACGCAAGUUGCGCU
rnacentral:rRNA from 1 species